UUUGUGGUUGUCUUGCUGUCGAAAGACCAAGUUGAAGAUCAGUUUGUUGUCUUGCUUUCCCAUCUUAGCUUGCUGUCGUGUCGAAACUCCAUGCUUGAAAAUCAGAAGAAGUCUUCUCUUCCUCAUGGCUCAGUUUGAAGAACAACAAACCAUUCAAUCAUGCAUAUUCAUCUCUUGCAUCCCAUGAGGUCAAUUGGGUACUGCAAUCUUCAAAGGUGUUUGAUUAUUAUAUGGAUUUAGGAGGAUUAGAGCCAUGGCUGCCCGUUUUGGCUGGCCAGCUGCCCGUUUCGCCAUCGAAGAGUUCAACAAGCGAAAGGAAUUAGCAGCCUAUAUGUUAUAACAUUGGAGGCAGUUGAUGCCGGUGUGGCUAAACUUUACCAAGCAAAAGUUUCGGUAAAUUUCACUGACGGCAUGUUUUUUGGAAUGGUUCUGUCUUGUCGUCGAUGAUGGGUGUCCGGCCUAUAGCACUAUUUGAUCACCUAGAAAACUUCUUUGCUCAGAAGGAUCAUGAAGACCAAGCCAAGAAUCAAAUUCCAAUGCGUAAAAUGAAGGGACUUCACUGUUCUAUAAACUCAUGUAUCAAACUAUGUCGUAUCGAACCUGCAUAUGACUUUUCAAAUAAUGGCAAGAUGCAAAGAUUUGGACAUUGGGCCGUGGAAAUGUUCAACGACAUCCUGAAUUCGUAAAAGCAGCAUGCUAUUAUUCUACCUCGCGCUUUAGCUUUUCUGGUUGAUUUUUAUGACUGAUUUAUUUAAUGUCUAAUAUGCAUGCCUUCCAUUAAACAUUUUUGAUCUGUUUCUUGAAUGAUUUAUCCCUGCUGCGGAGAAUGAGUUUCUUACUAUAGGUUCUGCAUAUAUACUAAAUAUAAAGUUCUGGUUUCUCUUUCAGAAUGCUGAACUGCAGUUUGUGAGAGUGGUUUGGAGGAUUUUUUUUAUCUAACAUUGGAGGCAGCUGAGGCUGGUGUGAUGAAAAUUUACCAAGCAGAACUGUUUUUGCCAGUUCUGCCAGGUGCCGGUUAUGCCAGGUAACAAGAAGAUUAAGCAUCCCAAUUCCUGGCUCAAUUUGUUUGGCCAUGUCGAUGAUAAUGGGACAUUGUCAAUACUAAUUGAUAAGAGGCAUGAAGAAUGCAGAAAAGAGAUUUUGGAAUCUGAAGAUAUUAAUAUUUUUACAGCAGUCCAGCAAGGUAACUUCUUACAGCAUGCUUUUUUCUUUUUGGUAAUUCUUUUAUGGCAUGUUACCUUGAUUAUCAUUACUACGUACCUAAUUCAGUAAUGUGCACAUUGCUUAUGUGGGUUGAUUAUUCAUCUUGGUCCAUUCAAUUUGAUUUGUACAUACUAUCUGAAUUUCCAUGUCUACCACUGCCGUUACAAGGAUGUUGAUCAAUUCAUUCCAACCUUUUUGUGAGAUAUUGAAAACAAGAGCUGAUUAGAUUAUUUUGCCUAUAUUAAGUGAAGAGAUUAGAACUGGUUAGUAAAUGGUGGUGAUGGAUUGUGCAACGCAUCAGUUGACUAUGUGUGAUAGUGCGUGCACUGUGCAGUACUAUAUAUCUGAGAUUCUGAGAUGUCAAUCAGUUUAGGAUCGUGGGGUUCCUUUGAAUGUCCGGUGAUCGGCCUGUAAUGACACUACUGUUACAAUUGGACCUUAUGAGUGUUUUUUUUAUAUAUUUUCUGUUCUUUUUUGGCCGAUUACUGUAAUGAAGUACUUUUUCAUGACCAGUUCGGCACUUCAUUGGGAAUCUAAAGUAGGAAAAAUUGAUGAAAAGUACUCGAGCAUGAGAACAAGGUGUUUGGCGAAAGCAUGGAGGAAAGUCGUGUCACAUGGUCUUAAUUUGGACUCGUUUUGUGUCAAAGUUUGUCACAUAGUUUUCAUCAAAGGUGUCAUUUCAAACUUUUGUUAGACCAUUUGCCAAAAAAACGAAAAAGAAACUCAAAACUAGGGUGCCAACAAUGUCAUAAACCCAAACUCCCAAAGUAACAAACCCAAUCAAUUGAAUUGUAUCCCAUCCCAAAUCUUUUUUUACACCUAUUUUCCUUUAUUUAAUGAAAUGAAUUCUUUUCUUCUGGCUGUCUCCCUGAACUUCACAUUGUUCUUCCUCAAUUAAUUAUUGCUGUACGUCCAUUUCUUGGCAGGGAAGUAAUCCCGGCCAGUUUAAUUGGGAGAAUGAAUCUUUUACCUAACCUAAUUGGGGAACCUGAGUUUAUAUGUAAUCCUUUUUCCUAACCUAAUUGGGGGAACCUGAGUUCAUAUAUAAUCCUUUUCCUAACCUAAUAGGGGAAAUUCACUCUCCCAAUUAAACUAGGUGUGUGUGUGUGGUAUAUAGACACAUGUAUAUCUUCAAUUAGUCAUUUCGUGUGCCUAUCUUUCUUCUUAAUUUUCUACUGAUAUCAGAUCCAUAUGGAAGUCGUGAUUGACAACUCUUGCAGGUUAUCUAUAUCAGAGGUUAAUGAACCUGACGAAGAGCUUCUAUGUACACAGUUCGUGAUGGAUAUCAACGUUGAGGCCAGAAAGCAGACCUGGGAGGCCGGCAAUGUCUACGUUAGGAAAAAGAAACAUGGACUCAAACUUGACCUAUGGAUGUAUGAAAACAGGUCAAGGAGCGCCAUUGAUGGUGGUUGGUUUCGAAGCAACCCGAUCAUGUUUGCAUCUUUAUCAUGGAAUUUGCAUUGUGAAGUGGCCGGCGCAGAGCAGGUUUUGCCCACUGUGUCGGUUUUCUUUGCCGGCCGAUUGAAUCACUAAUGAAUGUAACUUGAUUUUCCCUUUUGUCAUUAGCAUCAAAAGAAGAGAGAGAUAUAGAUGAUUAAAGGAAAAGUAGUUCACAACGAAAAGUUGUACUGUGUUAUAGUUUAACACAUUGAGAUUCUAUACUGUACAGAUUACUCUAACUGCAAUUCAUUUCACUCUUUUGAUGACCUAAAGAGCUUAGCUAUC